AAUAGGCAAACUUCAACGACAAGUACGAGGAGUACAGGAAGAAGUGGGGAGGAGGCAUCAUGGGAUCCAAGUCUCAAGCCAAGACCAAAGCUAAGGAGAGGGUUCUUGCCAAGGAGGCUGCCCAGAGAAUGAACUAAGCGGAGCACCUCGUUUGAGUUAUGUUUUUGUUUAGCGAUUUCUUGGGAUACUUUAAAACUUUAUGCUCUUACUAUCGAUGUUGCACACUUGAGGAUUUUAUGCAGUUUUUGUUAAGACAUUUUACUUUUGAGAUUAUUAUUUUCUUAUUUACUGAUCCGUUUUUGCAUAUUAAAACAAUGAACCCGUGCUUAGAGUUAUAAUUUUGCCCAGUGAAUUUAACUACUCAACUUAGUUGUUUGAGAUGACCAGAGUUGCUAAAAGGAGAAUAGCUAAUAGUGUUACUAUUACCAAAAACUAAGUGAAGUUAGCAGCUUUCAUUUGUCCUUCAAAAAUAUACCGCAUCUAAUGCUGUUCUAAUUCACACGCCCAGUUCUUUUUUUGGGGGUCAUUUGAUGAUAUAUAUGUUCAAAAUGCAAAUAGUACACAUGACAAAUCCAUCUCUUCACAGACCCAUAAAUAGGUAAACAUCUAUCCAAACACCUACCUUCCCAAAAACAUUAAAGCCCAAAUCCAGACCACAAUGGACUGUGGAUUGUUUUUAAACACAAACUAUUGUUUUCUUUUCUAAAUUAUUUCUUUUUUUUUUUUUUUUUUUUUUUCUGGUUGCCUGCUCUUUGCAGAAAGAUGGAAGUGCCUUACUGCAUUGUCAAAGGCAAAUCUCGUCUUGGAACGGUAAAUACAAUUCGACUAUUUACACUUAAUUAGUAUUUUAUCUUUUUAUACACUCUUACACCUUUGAUUGAUGUUUCAUUGCUCGCAUCUGCUUGCAGGUUGUUCACCAGAAGACUGCUGCUUGCUUGUGUUUGACCACUGUUAAGAACGAGGACAAACUCGAGUUCAGCAAAAUCCUUGAAGCCAUCAAGGUGAAUAAAAAACUGGCUCAACUUGAACUGUGUGACAAUUGAAGAUUAGUAGUAUAAUUCUUGAAGAAGAGUUGAGUAUAUCUUCUAACGUUUUUUUUUGUCUGGGUUUGAAUAGGCAAACUUCAACGACAAGUACGAGGAGUACAGGAAGAAGUGGGGAGGAGGCAUCAUGGGAUCCAAGUCUCAAGCCAAGACCAAAGCUAAGGAGAGGGUUCUUGCCAAGGAGGCUGCCCAGAGAAUGAACUAAGCGGAGCACCUCGUUUGAGUUAUGUUUUUGUUUAGCGAUUUCUUGGGAUACUUUAAAACUUUAUGCUCUUACUAUCGAUGUUGCACACUUGAGGAUUUUAUGCAGUUUUUGUUAAGACAUUUUACUUUUGAGAU
rnacentral:lncRNA from 1 species